CAGUAGCCGCGGUAAUACAGAGGGUGCGAGCGUUAAUCGGAUUUACUGGGCGUAAAGCGUGCGUAGGCGGCUAAUUGAGUCGGAUGUGAAAUCCCCGAGCUUAACUUGGGAAUUGCAUUCGAUACUGGUUAGCUAGAGUGUGGGAGAGGAUGGUAGAAUUCCAGGUGUAGCGGUGAAAUGCGUAGAGAUCUGGAGGAAUACCGAUGGCGAAGGCAGCCAUCUGGCCUAACACUGACGCUGAGGUACGAAAGCAUGGGGAGCAAACAGGAUUAGAUACCCCAGUAGUCCCUGUCUCUUAUCA
rnacentral:rRNA from 1 species